rnacentral:rRNA from 1 species
UACGGAGGGUGCAAGCAUUAAUCGGAUUUAUUGGGCGUAAAGGGCGCGUAGGCGGGUUUGUAAGUCAGAUGUGAAAUUCCGAAGCUUAACUUCGGAGCUGCAUUUGAAACUAUGAGCCUAGAGGGUAGGCGGAGAAAACGGAAUUCCACGUGUAGCGGUGAAAUGCGUAGAUAUGUGGAAGAACACCGGUGGCGAAAGCGGUUUUCUAGCUUAUACCUGACGCUGAGGCGCGAAAGUAAGGGGAGCAAACAGG